rnacentral:rRNA from 1 species
CCUACGGGCGACAGCAGUAGGGAAUCUUCCACAAUGGGCGAAAGCCUGAUGGAGCAACGCCGCGUGGGUGAAGAAGGUCUUCGGAUCGUAAAACCCUGUUGUUAGAGAAGAAAGUGCGUGAGAGUAACUGUUCACGUGUCGACGGUAUCUAACCAGAAAGCCACGGCUAACUACGUGCCAGCAGCCGCGGUAAUACGUAGGUGGCAAGCGUUAUCCGGAUUUAUUGGGCGUAAAGGGAACGCAGGCGGUCUUUUAAGUCUGAUGUGAAAGCCUUCGGCUUAACCGGAGUAGUGCAUUGGAAACUGGGAGACUUGAGUGCAGAAGAGGAGCGCGGAACGCCAUGUGUAGCGGUGAAAUGCGUAGAUAUAUGGAAGAACACCAGUGGCGAAGGCGGCUUUCUGGUCUGUAACUGACGCUGAGGUUCGAAAGCGUGGGUAGCAAACAGGAUUAGAUACCCCGGUAGUC